rnacentral:misc_RNA from 1 species
GAUGAAAGAACGUAGCGAAAUGCGAUAAGUAGUGUGAAUUGCAGAAUUCAGUGAAUCAUCGAAUCUUUGAACGCACAUUGCGCCCUUUGGUAUUCCUUAGGGCAUGCCUGUUCGAGCGUCAUUUAAACCUUCAAGCUCAGCUUGGUGUUGGGUGACUGUCCGCUUCACCGCGGACUCGCCUCAAAAUUAUUGGCGGCCGGUACAUUGGCUUCGAGCGCAGCAGAAACGCGAACUCGGGCCCGUCGUAUUGGCUCCCAGAAGCUAUCUUCACAAUUUUGACCUCGGAUCAGGUAGGGAUACCCGCUGAACUUAAGCAUAUCAAUAAGCGGAGGA